rnacentral:rRNA from 1 species
AAACUAACAAGGAUUCCCCUAGUAACGGCGAGUGAAGCGGGAAGAGCUCAAAUUUGAAAUCUGGUAGCCUUCGGUUGCCCGAGUUGUAAUCUAGAGAAGUGUUUUCCGUGCCGGCCCAUGUACAAGUCCCUUGGAACAGGGCGUCAUAGAGGGUGAGAAUCCCGUCCUUGACAUGGACCCCCGGUGCUUUGUGAUACACUUUCAACGAGUCGAGUUGUUUGGGAAUGCAGCUCAAAAUGGGUGGUGAAUUCCAUCUAAAGCUAAAUAUUGGCGAGAGACCGAUAGCGAACAAGUACCGUGAGGGAAAGAUGAAAAGCACUUUGGAAAGAGAGUUAAACAGUACGUGAAAUUGUUGAAAGGGAAACGAUUGAAGUCAGUCAUGCUCUUAGGAUUCAGCCGUUCUGCGGUGUAUUUCCUUUGAGUGGGGUCAACAUCAGUUUUGAUCGAUGGAUAAAGGCACGAGGAAGGUAGCACUCUCGGGUGAACUUAUAGCCUCGCGUCAUAUACAUUGAUUGGGACUGAGGAACGCAGCAUGCCUUUAUGGCCGGGAUUCGUCCACGUACAUGCUUAGGAUGUUGACAUAAUGGCUUUAAACGAC